ensembl:lncRNA
GUAAGACCCCUUGAGUCCCAGCUAGGAGAAAGAGAGAUCCAAAUGCCUCUGGUGGUGGAGAUGGUGGAGCGGAUGGAAACUUCCUCUGAAGCUUAGCAGAGAAGAAGCAGUUGUUUAUGAUUCCACCAGACCAUCUGCUUCCCUCUUAGCCCACUGGGAGGAGAGGUCACUUGGUGGCCAAACAAGCUUUGAUUUGACAGAGCAGGUAUUGUUGGAUCUUGACAAGGAGUUGUAUUUUCUCAAUUGCUGAUGAAAUCUGAACUCCACAGGGAAUGAGUUUAUCCCAUAGGUAAGACAACAGAGAUUCAGAUGAAGGCUUAAGUGCACCUGCUCUGUUCUGCAAAAGCAGUUGCGCUCUUGGGAAACAGGCACAUAUGCGCACACACACAUACACACACCAAUCCAAGGGAGACAGAGUAACAGAAAAAUUUCGGGGAAGUUAUUGCAAAACAUUCCAGUAAGCCUACUAAAAAUGAUUUUAAUUACCUAGCUAUGUUCUGAUUAUAAAGGUGAUGUGUUCUCCUAGGACAUUUGGAAAAAUGCCCAUGUGGAAGAAAAUAAAACAUUCUGAAAUCUUACUCCUGUUGGGUAGUUUUCCUUAUGGUUACACUUAACCGUCUACAGGGCGUUGAUCGUUUCUACAGGAAGGUGGAGAGGUUCAGCAGAGAGACGCUCGAGGAGGGCCCAGGGGAUCUUGCCUAUAGUCUGGAAAAUCUCCAGAGCCAAUUUUUAAAUAUCCAGGAAUUUUAUUAAGAAACUGUUGGCAGCUUAAACUUGACCAUUGUGGAAAAAUGUAUGCCGUGGAAAUGAACAGAUAUACAAGCCAGGACCUUUCUGGUUUGGAGAGUCAGAUCACGUCAGAACACCACUGGUUCUAGCACCUGCACCAUCCACAUGCUGUGAGGCACCGGGCGAUUGCUUCACCGAUGCAUCCCUCAGCUUCCUUUCCUGUGCUCCAUAGACACUCAAUAAACCUUAGCUGAAUGAAUAAAUGAGAGUGAGAUUUCCAUCCUUAUUAUCUCAUAAGGCAGCUGUGAGAGUCCCUUGAGAUAAAGAAAGUGUCUUGUACUCUGUGAGGCCCCCUGCCCUUGCAGGGGUUUAGCUGAUUGGGAGACCUUUAAUUUCUCAAUGGGGAGAAGUUGGCUGAGUUUCCUCCCUUUUGGCUCUUGCUCCUUGGGAGGGCUGUGAGUUAUUGACAUCCUUUCAUAAAGGCAGAUGAAAACCCUCCAUUUACUGACCAACAUCUGGGGCACAUUUCCUUCCUGGAAAAGUCAAGAAGUUGGUCAGAGGAGUGUGAAAAGGAAGCCUCAGCAGUACUGGAUGUGAGAGCCAGGACUGCAAUCAGCUUUUGACUCACAAUCUCUACUGGGGUGGAGAUGAUGAGGGGGAACUUCCUGCCAAAUGUGAAAUUUCAACAAAAGCGUCUUUCUUCAAGGUCCUGCUGUUGAAGCAGAUUAGAGCUAAUUAAAUAAGCAUAAUGGAGUCCCAGCCUCAGCCCUCCUCUUUCUACUUUCGGAAUCUCUUGCUUUCCUCUGUGCACUUCCUGCCUAUUUCCUCAAAGAGAGGGGAUGAGGAGAGGGUGGGACAUCAAUAAAGCACCAGUUUAUCUUUGUAGAAUUGUAGGUUCAGAAAAUAAUAAAAGUGCAGAGAGCUAUUGAGGUCACCUGUUCCCCCACCCUUGUUUUAAGAAGCCAAAUCACACGGUGCUGGUGGUGGUCCAUGCCUGUGCUGAAAAUAGGUUUUGCCCUGGAAAGGAAGGGACCACAGGCGGGGGCUUUUGUAGCCACCUGGAAGGGGACAUGGUGGAUAAUCUUGUGCUAGCCCUGGCUCUUCCCUUCCCAGGUGGUAUCUGCUGCCACAGUCCUGCUGCACUUCAGGGCCCUCUAGUUUUCUUGGAGUUAAGUCCUCUUGCUCAUCAGGGUCUUAGUUUCCCAGCUCAGGAGACCCGUUUAAGGAGAUCUCAUUCUGAAGAACUUUAGAUGUGUUUAUGAGGAAGGCAAGGGAUGGGCAGGACAUUGAUUGAGCUCAUGAUGGUUCCAGGGCAUGAGUUCUAUGUUCGGUCCAUAUUAUCUCUUUUAAUUCUGCAACAAUCUAAAGGUAUCCAUCCUCCUGUCUCAGAUGUGGCAGUUGAGUCUCAGGUAGGACUCACUCAAGAUUUUGCCACUCAUAAGCAACAGAGAUGUCAGCUAGGUCUGUUUGUGACCUCUACAGCUUUUCAGAGCUAGUGAGGGCUUUUCAUGGCAAGUAGUCACCCUUGUAGGAGUUCCGAGUCCAGCUCCAAUAGGCAGUGUGCCUUCCCUCAGGGAACUCAAUUCCGUCUCCAAAGCCAAGUGAACAGCUGUGGUCUACAGCGAUUGGAGUUUUGCAGAAUGCUGCUCUGUUCUUCCAGAUCCCGAGGGCUGUCUUUCCUGCUGUGUAAGACUGUACUGGAGCUGAGAGCACCCACAGAGUCUAGAGCAGAGUCCCCUUGCUCAUCUGACGUCCCAGCAGCUGAGGUGUGGUGUUUCUGGGCCUCCGUUUCUACCCAGUUAGAAACAGGCGUCUUCCCUUGGUCUCCUGUGACCACACACCUCCCAUGUGUUCUACAAGAACCUGAUAGAAAGAAAUUCUGUCUUCGGUCUCUCUGUGAUCUUGAGUUGUGUCCCGGGGUUCCCAGCUUCCUGAGCACAGACUUCAAAAUGUUCAGCCUGUGAGGUGAGAGACAGCAGCACACGGGCAGGGCCUUUGGAAAAUCUAUGCAGAGGGGAAGGACUGAGGGAGAGGAGGCAGAGUGAUCCCGGGAGCAGCCUGGGAAGGUGCUGCCUGGUGGUGGUAGGUGCCCAACUCUGCAGCGAGGGCUGAUGGGAUUGCUGAGGGCGCUGUCCCAGAUAAUCAGGAAUCCUUUUCAUCCAAGGCAUCUGAUCAGUUUCAGAUUGAGGACAAGCUCAGUUCUGCAGAGCAUGUGAUGUGG